CGGGCCGUGUACUCCCAGAUGGCGUCGGCGUCGAGCAGGCCCUGGUCGCCGAAGUAGGCUCCGUCGGCCAGGACGCCGAGCACCGCGUCGUCGCCGUACGGGCCGGUGCCGACCUUCUCGACCUUGCCGUGCGCGAGCAAGUACACCUCGUCGACCGGGCUGCCGAAGGGGACGACGACCUCCCCCGCGGAGAUCUCGCGCUGCCGGCAGCGCCGGGCGAGUUCGCCGAGUACUUCCUCGUCCUCAUAGGACCGCAGGGCGGGCAGUUCGCCCAGUUCCGCCGGGAUGACGGUGACCUGGUCGCCGGUCUUCACGAACGUCACACGGCCGUCCCCCACGGUGUACGUGAGCCGUCGGUUCACGCGGUACGUGCCACCCUGCACAUUCACCCACGGCAGCGUCCGCAGCAGCCAGCGGGAGCUGAUCUCCUGCAUCUGCGGCACGGACUUGGUGGUGGUGGCCAGGUUCCGCGCAGCCGCCGUGCCCAGACUCUGCUGGGGCCUGUCCU
rnacentral:antisense_RNA from 1 species